CCUACGGGUGGCUGCAGUGGGGAAUAUUGGACAAUGGGGGGAACCCUGAUCCAGCCAUGCCGCGUGUGUGAAGAAGGCCCUCGGGUUGUAAAGCACUUUCAGUGAGGAAGAACGCCUGGUGGUUAAUACCCAUCAGGAAAGACAUCACUCACAGAAGAAGCACCGGCUAACUCCGUGCCAGCAGCCGCGGUAAUACGGAGGGUGCGAGCGUUAAUCUGAAUUACUGGGCGUAAAGCGCGCGUAGGUGGCUUGAUAAGCCGGUUGUGAAAGCCCCGGGCUCAACCUGGGAACGGCAUCCGGAACUGUCAAGCUAGAGUGCAGGAGAGGAAGGUAGAAUUCCCGGUGUAGCGGUGAAAUGCGUAGAGAUCGGGAGGAAUACCAGUGGCGAAGGCGGCCUUCUGGACUGACACUGACACUGAGGUGCGAAAGCGUGGGUAGCAAACAGGAUUAGAUACCCUGGUAGUC
rnacentral:rRNA from 1 species